AAAUGACAUGUUUUUUUUAUAAAAAAAGUAUAGGAGGAAUCAAGAUGAUUUUGUAAAAUGUCAUUGCACCUCAAGUUACUCUAACUAGAAAGAUUUAAAAUAUUUAUACAUUAUAUAUAUUACGGUGAUGAAAGUUUAGGAUAAUAGAUCACUCAAAAGUAUGAAGAAGAAAAUAAGAAAUCCAUACCACUAGGAAAUUCAACUGGAUCGUGG
rnacentral:lncRNA from 1 species